CCUACGGGGCGCAGCAGUGAGGAAUAUUGGUCAAUGGCCGCAGGGCUGAACCAGCCAAGUCGCGUGAGGGAUGACGGUCCUAUGGAUUGUAAACCUCUUUUGUCAGGGAGCAAAGGGCGCCACGUGUGGCGCUUUGCGAGUACCUGAAGAAAAAGCAUCGGCUAACUCCGUGCCAGCAGCCGCGGUAAUACGGAGGAUGCGAGCGUUAUCCGGAUUUAUUGGGUUUAAAGGGUGCGCAGGCGGAAUGUCAAGUCAGCGGUAAAAUUUCGGGGCUCAACCCCGUAGUGCCGUUGAAACUGGCGUUCUUGAGUGAGCGAGAAGUAUGCGGAAUGCGUGGUGUAGCGGUGAAAUGCAUAGAUAUCACGAAGAACUCCGAUUGCGAAGGCAGCAUACCGGCGCUCAACUGACGCUCAGGCACGAAAGCGUGGGUAUCGAACAGGAUUAGAUACCCUAGUAGUC
rnacentral:rRNA from 1 species